CUCACAGACAGCAGAGCGCUUGCAGUGGGAAUCGGUAGCUCUCUUGGAGGACACGGACACGCAUACAGCUCAUUCACAAGUGGCGCCAGUCUGAUUUGGGGAAUGCCUGCUUCUCACCCUUUCCUGCCAUCGGUGUAAAAUUUUAUUCCUGGAAGCCAGAGGGGCCACAACAGAAAACGUUCCACGUGGUACAUCCUUGCCCACAUGUUCCAUGAUGAUGUUGGGAAGAGGAUAAAUUGGAAAGGGAUCACUAUGCAACACUCUAUGCCAGACGGCAUUGGAGAUGUUACUCCUGUGUCUUCGUUCUGAAGUGCAUUCUGUUUGCCUGCACUGGUCUACGAGCACUCUGUCUGCUGCCCGCCUAGCUCACUAUUCCUGCCUGCCCGCUCUCAGACUCUAUGCCUGGAUUUCAUCAUCGCACAGUUUUUGAGUCUGUCAAUAAACCACAGUUUUUUGCUUCUACUCCA